GGGUUGAUGAUGAGACCUCAUACUGUAUCGACGUGACUUGAUGACUAAAAUUCAUGCUCAAUAGGAUUGCGUUGAGGCCC
ensembl:snoRNA SNORD115 Small nucleolar RNA SNORD115